rnacentral:lncRNA from 1 species
CAUUAUUAAGGAUACUGAAUCAGUGGAAAAAUUUCUUAUUAUUGAUUUAAAUACAAUAUCAGUUUCUGCAUAAUCCAAAUAUUCUGAAGAAAAAGCUGAUUAAGACAUUUUGUUCUGGCUUUGCUCAUCUUCAAAGAUAUAAAUUACAGUAAUGUACAGGUCCUGUUAUGAGUUAGUUGGAACUGGUUGCAGUGUUGCAGAAGUGCAUGACUUGCUGUACAAACCUGAGAGGGGAGCUGCUUUGAAGAAAGGAGACCUGUUAGACUUCUGGAUUCUGGUGAUUCCUGAACAGCGUACCCAAAUCAAAAUAUACCAGGUGGCAUUGAUGGACGGUGCUGCCUGUUCAUUUAGCUGGAGGACUCUGUGAAUGCAUGCCAUGAGUGAAGGGGAGCAGUGAAAGCCCUGAAGCUUUGUAAUGGAGAGGAAAAUCAUCAGGAUUUUUCUCACUCCCACAGAACAAGCUGCUUAUCAGAACACCAUUAUUUUCCUGGACUGUUCCUGAUGUCUCCCCCAGCUUCAGCUCUGAAAAUGAUCUCUCUGAGUCACAGCAAAUGACUCAUCUGUAUCUGUUAGGUCAGACCUUGGGACACAGGCGAUGCAGAGGGAGAAGGAGACUCUUCCCUGGAGGAACUCUUGAGACUUCCGAAUGCUUGACUCAGUUUGAUAAGUGGCCUUGUGCAGCUAUCGUGCUCUCUUUCCCUCACUCCUCCACCUGUGGCUUUUAGCACUGCCUCUCACCUCGGCAGUGACAAUGCUGCCAAUGGCAAUGCAGUACAUGGGUUCUGUGCAGGGCAUGAUCCCUUCUGUACAUAGGGAGCCUUGCUACAAAAAGUUCGUUAUGCAAAUGCAACGCUGACCUUGUAUCAUGGGGCAGGCACCAAGCCAAAGGCAGCUCCCAAAAGCAGGCUACUAGGAAGAGUUCAUAUGAAAGUAAUGUGACUUAUUUGACACUCUCUCUGUAUGAGAAACCAACCAGAGCAUAGUUGUAAAAUGCUGAAGAUCAUUUGAAAUGAACUGAGUUGAACUGAAUGAAAUAUAAAGAUGACACUAAACAGUUAGUACAAUUUGCAAAUACAUAAUUGUUCCAAUAUAUAGUAAAUAUACAAUAGAAAUACACAAAUGUGGGGGGGACCAAGCUG